AAUUUUAAUUAAAAAGUGAUCAACAACAAAAAUGUAUAACUCAUCAAGAUGUAUAACUUUUAUUUUUGUCAUUUCUUCAUCCGAUAAAGUGAUAGUAACAUUGUUCAUAAAAUUCACAUAUCUCUCAUCUGGUUUAUAAACUAUAACAUAGAUAUGUCAAUUUUACGAACAAUGUUACUAACACUUUAUCGGAUGAAUAAAUAACCAAAAUAAAAGUUAUAGAUCUUGAUGAGUUAUACAUCUUUGUUGUUGAUGACCUUUUUAGUUGAAAUC
rnacentral:pre_miRNA from 1 species